GAUUUGAGAGAAGAACACGGCGGCUCGGCCUUGGCGUCCAUGGCGCGGUGGGAUAGCUCCUGGGUACCUGGAAGAGAGAGAUGUGGGAGGGAGAGAGAAAAGAGAAAGGAGAAAGGGAGGAAGAAUGGGAGGACAAGGGGAAGGAAGAAGGAUGAGGCGCAGGGCCUGCUGGUUCGGUGGUGAUUGUCGCCAUCGGCGUCUAGUACUCAGGCGAGGCGGCGCUGGUGGAUCGAGGUGCUCGGGGACGAGCGAGCAGAGGAGGGGAUCGAUGGAUUUGGAAGGAGUGCAUUGGUUGGGUGGCGGCGGAAAUCAAGGGAGAGGGUCGGAGAGAAUUUGGAUCGGGAGGAGAUCCCGAGGUGGGAUGGUGAGUGGCGGCGGCGGGUGAGGGAAAGAUGGGACAACUAGCCUAAAACUUAGGGUUUUGCCUGGUUAUAUAGGUAGGGGAUUUGACGUUAGACUAUAUGGUCCCUCCGAUAAAAAUCGGACGGCCGCGAACAAAAUAGCUAGGGAGUCCAAAUAAGAAAAUGGAGACAUUUUGUAGACGUUUGGGGAUGAUCCAGAUCCAACGGUGACGACUGCCCGGGUCGGGUCUGGGACAAUUUCGGACGCGCACGUGAGGGGUUCGAUGCACUGAGCAGAGAGGGUUUCGGACCGUGCGGUCGCAUCGGACAACUCCGGAAGCGAAGAGGGGAAGGAGGAUGGACUAGGUGGGCUGUGUAGACGGUCUCGAGAUGAUAGAAGAGAAGAGAGGGAGGCCCGGCGACUGUUUUCGGAGACCAAAAACGUCCGACGUUAGACCGACUAUACUGCCGCUAUAGUUUAACGGUUGGGCUAUCAAACGAACUCCGAAUGCGAUGAAACUUGGCAGGCGACCUACUAACGACAUAACAACACCGCACGCCAACUUUCAACCCAUUCCGAGAACAUUUUCCAGCCACUUAUAAAAUAAAAUUUCGGAGGUGCCGCGGGCGCGUGCAAGUGUGGUCUGGGCUCAGAACGGACAACGGACGGAACUGGAAGACCGGGGCGGAUGCAAGUAUUGAAAACACGAUGAUGCAAUGCACAUGAUGACAUGACAAGAUGCAACACGCAAGCGAAUGAUAAGGCAACAACAGCGAAUAACUGGAAGACACCUGGCACAACGGUCUCGGGGCGUCACAACACUCCACCACUACGAUAGGAUCUCGACCCGAGAUCCUAGGGAUGGCACCGGAGGGGAAAAUAAGAGGAAGAGGUGAGGUGAAACUAUGUUGAUUCUUUGACAAACGAGUGAAAACACGAGCCUUGAGAGGUUAAGCCAUUUCGAGAAAAGAAUACAACGGAGAUGACGAAGUUGAAAACACUCCGUUAGAAAAGAGGAACAAGGAAGAACAACUUCGGGCAGCACUCCGAUUGAAAAGAAAAGGAAUUGAAUAAGAACUUGAUAAGAUGAGAAGAUACUUGAUGAAAUCACAACACACUGCCUCCGGAACUAUUGAAUGAAAGGAACUAGGGGUAACAAAGAUCUCAUAUAGCACUCCGGUAGAAAAGAGGUGCAAGGCUUGAUAAGGCAAAAAGAACUUGAGCAAAAGGGCACAACACUCCGGUUAAAUGGAUAGGCACAAGAAAGAACAUGAUCUUAAAUGAAACGAGAUGAUGGUUGAAGAAAGCAACAUCACAAGGCCUCUGGAACAAAAGUAAGAAUGGAAUGGAAUGAACGAAGGGAAACAAGAUCUUGAGGGAGCACGCUUACAACAAAAGCUAGAACGGAGUUGUUGGAAAACCAACAACAAAAAGAAUAAGCUUUAAAUGGUCUUAUGGGAUACAUCUCAAAUUAUGAGGUGACAACCUUCCACUCACGGGAAAAAGAAUUGGAUUGGUAAGAACAAGGAGACGAGAAACUUAUUUCACCGGGAGGAUAAAUGAAGAACUUUGGUCAUUUAUGAGCACCAUAAAUAGCAACCAUCCGUAGGGAAGGCUUUAGGUGAAUCAUGACACAAGAUAACUCCAAUGAAGAGGUUGAUGGAUAUAAAAUACCCCAUUCUUAACAAUAUGUGAAUCGUGAAGCAUGAACUCAAAUUAUCAAGAAUGACAUAAUACCACCUCCAAUGAUACGGAAGAAAGAAUUGCACUCCGGAUUGCAAGAUGAAGAAAACUUGAGCUCCUUUGAAAAUAAAUCUUGAUGAACACUUCGAGAAGGGAUUAAAUCCUUUAUGAACCAUCAUGUUGAGCCUCCAUGAAGAACUCCGUUAACAAAAGAAUGAUCAAACAAAAAGAAAGGGUAGUUGAAAACACAAGGUGAAGCCUUGUACCGAUUUAAAUGAAUCUCCGUGGUGAAAUAAUUGAAAAAGGUUGGAACUCCGGGAAAAAGAGAAGAUGAAACAAUUGAAAACCGGAAUUUGAUGAGCCUCCAGACUAAGGAAUUGAAUUUACUCGAUGAAGCAAGAAUAAGAAUUACAUUAUGCUUAUCCUUCACCAAUUAAAUUGAUGACAAUCAACGGAUUUGGCAUAUUACUUAUUCUCAUAGAAAAGGUUAAGAGAGAUAUAACGUAAACUUGAGAAUGUCUUCAACGAACCACUGGUAGAAUCAAAACAACGAAUGAACUGAUAUGACAAAGAAGGAAGAGAAAUCUUGAACAAACCACCAUAAGAAUUGAAAAAGAACGGAGUAAAGGGAUGAAUCAUCGGUAAGAAUUAGAAAACGAACAAAGAUACUUGGGGAAAUUUAGAUACAAGAGAAUGAAGAGAUCACGAGCUGAUUAGAUAAAACUUGAAUGAAGCACCGGUAAGAUUUGGAGAACAAUAGCUGAAAGCUGGGAUGAAUAAUAUUUUAAAAGAUGGCCUUCGGAGUAAAGAAAUGGAAACAACUCAUGAAAUGCUCCGGAUGGGUGAAAAGAAUUCUCACAAUCGAAAAUAAUUAUUAGGGGAUGGCAUCAAGCUAGAAUCACGAAUCUUUGAGAGAGCGGAUAGAUAUGGAGGAAAAGUCUUCAUCGGUCUUCAAAACCUGAGAAUGACAACGAGAAACACCAACAAGAAUUAUUGAGACACUCCGGAAUGAAGAAUGGAAAAGUUGAGCCAACGAUGAAAAGAAAUUGAGAGCUCUUGGAGAAACACAUCUGACUAAUGAAAAAAAUUUCAUUCUUACAUCACACGUCGAAAAGAAUUUGAUGGUAGCUCCGGGAAAAUAGAAGAGUCAGGUAAGAUCCUGGGAAAAGACCUGUGGGUUAGGGCCCACUCAAAAGAAACACCGUUGGAAUGAUUUAAAAGAGAGGUUGCACCGGUUGAAUUAAAUGGCUUGAAUGAGAUAACAUCCUGGCAAAAUCUUGAAUGGAUUGAGAAUGGAAACGGAUCUUCCGAGAUAUCUUGAACACUCUGGAACAAUUGAAUGGCAAGCGGGGAAGAUUAAGAGGUGCACCGGCAUAAGUAAGCAUUAAAACGAGUAAAAGAUAUGAUCAACAAAGCUUGACUUGAAACCACCGGAGAGAAAAAAAAUGAAGAAUGAUGAACUUGAGGCCCCGUUAGAAUGACCAUGAGAAUCACCGGAUACGAACAUUGAUUGAAAAGAAAGAAGAGACUUCACAAGAAUAAAGGAUACUUGAUUAAGAUAUCGGAUUCCUUGAAGAAAAAGGGUGGGUGGGCGGGAAAAACAGAGGUAACUUGGGACGGAUGAAGCAAACAUGAUGAGAAGACAUGGAGUUGAUCUUGCGGAUGAGACAAAUGAUAGGAACAUCUUGAAGAGAAUCACACCGGUUGACAAGGAUUGACAUGACAAACUCGAUGAUCGAGAAGGAUUAGUAUUCACAUAGGAACAUGAGAACACCGCUUAGGAAAAGGUAUGGAAUCAACAUUUGACUUCGAAGCAACUCGAAUACCACAACUCAAAACAAAACAAAGGAUUGGCUUGCAGAAUAAGCCGGAACAAACAUAUGAUAGAGAUUUCGUCCGAAGUUUUCGUGGUGGGGCCUACAUGGGCUCGAUCGUACAGCACCAUCAUGUACAAGGCAGUGCACAUGACAUACGAAGCGUCCCAGAGUCGGCAUAGCCAAGCACUCUUUAAGACACAACGAGACCACUGUAAAACCAACCGUGGAUAGACGGACCACUAGACGUCGAACCCCAAUUUCAUAUCAUACAUCUAUCGAAAAGAUAUCCUAAGAACUACUUGAAUUCCCACUUAUAAACUCCCGAAAUUUUCCGGUUAUGCAAUCAGGUGUUGGGGAUACAGGGGAAGCAUAAUAUCUCACCCAAACUAGCAAAUCCUACAUCCAGUUGUAUCCAUCCUUCAACACAUAACCAAGAAACCUUCGGAAAUCAUCUACCUCAACCUUCGAAAAGCAUCCGUUAUACGAGUUAUGGCAAUACUCCCGAACUCCCGCCCCAGUACUGGGUGGCGUCGAGGUUAUCUCACCAACAACUGCAUAAAAGAGAUUUUCGAUGUCGGCGAAACUAAACUCAGGUAUUCCAGAACUGCAACGAUAAAAUUGUGACGACAACACCUCGGAGCUCAACUCCCCGGGACACUGCCACAACCCCUAAAUGACAGGAGGCACCAAGAACAAUGUUCUCGUCACAAAACCAUUGGAACGAUUCCAAGAUACCCGCGUGAUCCUAAAUUUUUUUUAGUGAAAUUUGAGAAGAGAAUAGUCAAAACUCUACAUCAGGAUGCCUCACCAGAGCGACGAAGGGGCUGAGGAGUAAAAAGAAUUCCUAACUCUCAGAUAUAUAUAAUUCCUAAAUGACUCAAAACAUUUCUAGACUCAAUAACACCAGCGAUUCGAUCAAGCAGGGGGCUCCUAAGGUCGGGGAAGGCUCUGAUUACCAACUUGUAACGCCCUCGAUGCAGCUAUAUCUCCCACGUGUCGAAGCACGACUUAGAGGCAUAACCGCAUUGAAAGCAAUGUCGCAAGUGAGGUAAUCUUCACACAACCCAUGUAAUACAUAAGGGAAAGAGAUACAUAGCUGGCUUACAAUCGCCACUUCACACAAUACAUAAAUAAAGCAUUACAUCAUCCAGAUACAAUCAAGGUCCGACUAUGGAACCAAAAUAAAAGAAGACUACCCCAAAUGCUACACAGAUCCCCGAUCGACCCCAACUGGGCUCCACUACUGAUCAACUAGAACGAAACAACACAAAGGACAAGAUCUUCAUCGAGCUCCUCCUGAGCUUGGUUGCGUCACCUGCACGGACUCAACGGCACCUGCAAACUGGUUUGGAAGUAAUCUGUGAGCCAUGGGGACUCAGCAAUCUCGCACCCUCGUGAUCAAGACUAUUUAAGCUUAUAGGUAAGGCAAGGUAAUAUGUGGAGCUGCAGCAAGCGACUAGCAUAUAUGGUGGCUAACCUGUUCACAAAAGAGAGCGAGAAGAGAAGGCAAAGCACGAACGAGUAACUAUAGAACAACCUACGGCAAACAUUACUCCAACACCGUGUUCACUUCCCGGACUCCGCCGAGAAGAGACCAUCACGGUAACACCGCAGUUGAUUCAUUUUAAUUAAGUUAAGGUUCAAGUUAUCUACAACCGGACAUUAACAAAUUCCCAUCUGCCCAUAACCGCGGGCACGGCUUUCGAAAGUUCAAAUCCCUACAGGGGAGUCCCAACUUAGCCCAUGACAAGCUCUCACGGUCAACGAAGGAUAUACCUUCUCCCGAGACAUUCCGAUCAGACUCGCAUCCCGGUUCUACAAGACAACUUCGACAAGUUAAAACAAAUCCAGCAACACCGCCCGAAUGUGCCGACAAAUCCCGAUAGGAGCUGCACAUAUCUCGUUCUCAGGGCACACUCAGAUUGUCCAAACUUCCGGUAGGCCAGCCCAGAGUUGCCCCUGGUGGCCACCGGCGGCUGACGAGGUGGACCAACACUCAGAGGAGCACUGGCCCGGGGGGGUUUAAAUAAGAUGACCCUCGGGCUCCAGAAACCCAAGGGAAAAAGAGGCUAGGUGGCAAAUAGUAAAACCAAGGUUGGGCAUUGCUGGAGGAGUUUUAUUCAAGGUGAACUGUCAAGGGGUUCCCAUUAUUACCCAACUGCGUAAGGAACGCAAAAUCCGGGAACAUAACACCAAUAUGACGGAAACUAGGGCGGCAAGAGUGGAACAAAACACUAGGCAAAAGGCCGAGCCUUCCACCCUUUACCAAGUAUAUAGAUGCAUUAAGAUAACAAGAUAAUAUAAUGAUAUCCCGACAACUAAACAAUGUUCCAACAAGGAACGAUCUCCAAUCUUCACCUGCAACUAGCAACGCUAUAAUAGGGGCUGAGCAAAGCGGUAACAUAGCCAAUCAACGGUUUGCUAGGACAUGGUGGGUUAGAGGUUUGACAUGGCAAUUUGGGAGCCAUGAUAAGCAAGUGGUAGGCAUUGUAGCAUAGGCAUAGCAAAAGAGCGAGCAACUAGCAAGCAAAGAUAGAAGUGAUUUCGAGGGUAUGGUCAUCUUGCCUGAAAUCCCACAAGGAAGAAGAACGAGUCCACGAAGAAGACAAACGGACGUAGACGAACGGGUCCUCACAAACUCGACGUUACCGGAACCAACCCAAAGGAUCCAACACCGGAAAGAAGCACACAACAUAGUAAACAACCACAACAUGAACAUGGCAUGAUGCACAAUCAAGUAUGAUGCAUGUCCGGUUUAAUGAAGCAUGGCAUGGCAAAGUGCACAAACAAUCCUACAAAUUAAGUGGAGCUCAUUAUGCAACGGAGUUGCAUAUUGAAGAAAACACCACAAGACUUAUUUAGUUAUCUCUCGUUUAUGUACCCAACAAGAUUAAAUGUUGAUUAACAUGGCAAGAGGGUGAAGCAAAGUAAAACUACCUAUCUAGUCAAGUUUAAAUGAGGCCGGAAGCAACGAACAACAAAUCCGGAAACUCCUCAUGUGCAUAUAUUAGGUUUGAUCCUGUUCUGCCCUAAACCAUAUUUUAGAGUUGUUAAACAUGCAAAGUAAAGCCACCAUGUUAAACUAGGAAUUUUUCUACACCAUUUACAUAUAAAGAUUAUAGGAAACUGAGCCACGGUUAAUUAGUUAUGAAUUAAAGCAUUUUAGCAUGGCAUUAAGCAAAAAUUACACAAACAGCAUUUUAAGACAUUUUAAACAUGGAUGAAAAUGACAUAUUAUGAAACUAGACAAAGUUCUAAGCAAGUUUCAUAUAUAAAUUGUUUUAAUUCGAUGCACGGUUCUUAAGUUAUUAUAUGCAUGAAGUUUAGGGACCUAUCUGCAAAACAACAUUCUCUGAAAAAAAGGAAAAACGUUCUAUGUAAAAAAACACGAUACGGGCCGGAUCUGGUUGGCCCAUCAGUGCACAGGAGGGGCUGGGGGGUCUCACAGCGGGUCUUGGGCCGGACGGUGGUGAGGUAGGCCGGAUCUAGGCUUGGAGGCUGCUGGGCCACAACUGGAGAGGAGGCCGGCCCAGGCGAGUAGCGAGGCCGCUCGGUCAAAACGGAGGGAGUCAACGUGGGCUCCGCUAGCUCGUCUUUGGCGCAGAGGAACCAGGGGCGCGGCGGCUGGGAGUCCAACUCCGGCGAGCGGGGCAUAGGGGCGGCAAGGUGAGGGACUUGGCGACGGCGGCGGACUACAGGUGCGGCGGCCUGGAGCGGCAGCGAACCAGUUGUCGCAGCGGGUGUUGGAGCGGCUCGGCUCGAUGUAGAGGAGGCACGGGGUGAGCAGGAUGGAGAGGAUGCAGCAGCGGGACUCGAGGAGCUCGGCGAGGGGCCGAGGCAGCGGAUGCCGCAGCCGCGCGGGUGGAAGCAGGCUCCGGCGGCUUGCGCAGGGCGGCGCGGUGGGGCUUGCUCCGGCGGAACGAGGUGGAGGCGACGAACUCCUCGGGAGGCGCGGGCAAGGCGCCGGCUGAGGAGGCUUGGGUCCAGGCCGGUGCGGAGGACUCCAAUAGCGGCUUGGUUCGCUGGAUUCGAGAGAAGAACACGGCGGCUCGGCCUUGGCGUCCAUGGCGCGGCGGGAUAGCUCCUGGGUACCUGGAAGAGAGAGAUGUGAGAGGGAGAGAGAAAAGAGAAAGGAGAAAGGGAGGAAGAACGGGAGGACAAGGGGAAGGAAGAAGGAUGAGGAGCAGGGCCUGCUGGUUCGGUGGUGAUUGUCGCCGUUGGCGUCUAGUACUCGGGCAAGGCGGCGCUGGUGGAUCGAGGUGCUCGGGGACGAGCGAGCAGAGGAGGGGAUCGAUGGAUUUGGAAGGAGUGCAUUGGUUGGGUGGCGGCGGAAAUCAAGGGAGAGGGUCGGAGAGAAUUUGGAUCGGGAGGAGAUCCCGAGGUGGGAUGGUGAGUGGCGGCGGCGGGUGAG
rnacentral:lncRNA from 1 species